GUUGGGCAGAGAGAAAGGGGAACCUCGUUCAGCUCUUCCCUUCCACGUUGCCAUCAUGCAAAGGGCAACUCCUCCUAGAGAACUAUCCCAGGCCUUCAAAAGGGAGAACCCAGGCCAGAGAUUGUCGUCCACCCUCUUCUUCUCACCCUUCCUCUCAUCCCUGUGCAUAUCAGUGUGUUUACGUGCCUCGAAAUGCCUAUUUAGGGACCUCCGAUCAAAAACAUUUCUUCAUCAAAGUUGUUUACCUCUGUCUCUUAUAUCUAACCUCCAAAUUUCAGCUCCAUUGGAGUCAUUUUGAGACCUGUACACCCCUCGAAGCGGGAGCUGCUCAGAAACUAGCCUGUUCCGGAUCUCUGCUUGAAUUCCUUCUCUUGCUCUAUCCGAAUCCCCCACAUCUUGUUUGAGACUAAUACCAACAGUUGAUUGAGUGAACUUCUUUGCCUGCAACUGGGCUCGAUCCAAUCAACUCCCUCAGCUCUCUUUCCUGUUGAAGCCCUCAAGAAAAACUCACCUUUUUGGUUAGUCUUUGGAUCUUGUGAAGUUGGUGGUUGCUACAAGGUUGCAUAUAUUGAGGCCAAGUGCUGCAAGAGAAAGCUCGAGUUCCAGGUAGGGGAUGCCUUUAACUCUAUCUAUGCUUUUCUUGCAUAUACUAUGUUUUAUAUGAGGCCUCAUGCAUGGUUUUUUGGAAAUUAUCUGUUAUUUUUACAAUUGAAAUGGUUUGCGUGGUUGGAUUGAUGUGUUGGCAAUUGAUGGGGAUGUAAGGAGAGGUCUGUUCCUCCUUGGGGAUUGAAAAUGCCACCAGUGGUAGGCAGUGUGCACCAUGCCCUUGUUAUUGAAUUAUCCCCUUUGUCUCUAGCCUUGUGAUAAUUGAAUUCCGGAAAGUGAUUGGCUAGAUGGACGGUUAUGAUGGAAGUUGUGGAAGAAGAUCAAUUGCCGUGGGAUUGUAAUUACGUGGUGACGAUCACGUGGAAUCGCAAACCGUUUGUUUUGCAGGCUGUUGUUGUCGAAGGUUGGGUAUGGAGGAUAAUCCUUGGAGGCCACAAAUUGUUUUAUUUAAAGUUUAUUUUUAUUUGGCUUGUUCGAUCUCGUUAAAUUUUUGUAACGUUAUGUAUGGUUGAUGAUGCGUGUGAUUGCUUACCACCAAAGUGGAACCCUAGGUUUAGAAUCUCCAUUUGAGUUUAGGUCCUAGUGGGCUAGACCUAGAAGACUCACGUAAAAUUACCGUUCAAUGAACCUAAUGCAAACUUGGGCUAAGAACUAAAAAAUGACUUAGGUUCUAAAACUCAACACAACACCACCUUCCUUUCCUCUUCUUUGCCUAGUUCGUAAUCUUGUGGUUACGAGCCAAGCCCACUAUACAAGCCUAAGAGUUUCGGGCUUAUAGAUUUCUUGUUCUCCAACCUAAAGGCCUUGUCUCUUUGAGGAAUUCUAGGCCCAAAACACUUACUCCCUAAGUGUCGUGGGUGUAGGGUUCCUUGGGGAGGCGGCGCUGUGGUAAUCCGGUCUCCGGGUCGCCACAGACAAACUAGUCGUAAUUGCUCAGAAUCUCAUUACAAUCUCCUGCCACCAGCCACAACAUUGAUGUUUGAGCAACCAAAGUGCGGAUCAAAUUCCAAGUCCAUAUCAGAUCUCCAUGAGAUGUGAAGCCAUAUAUCCUAGUAAACCUCCAAAUCUCCGAUGAACCCAAUAACCCUACCUCUACGUCAAUGUGAUGAGGAGAAUAGUUGCGCAACCUUAUUGGAGUAUCAUUCAUCCAAAACAGAGCCAGACCACUAGAAUCACGAUCCUUAGGCGAGCAGAUGCAGCCAUCAAAUCCCAUGCGAGUACACAAUUCCUCCAAUAAACUCGGACCGACAAGUGUCUAAGAGAGGAACACUAUGCUGGGUUUUUCUUCCUGACCAAAGUAACCAGAGCCUCUCGUGUUUCAAAGUUCACCAACCCCCUACAAUUCCAUGCAAUGAUCUUAAAUUAGAGCAUCGAUAUGAUUUAGAUAAACUGAACUUUAGAUCAAUCGAAGAAGGCGAGGAAUGACGCAUGCACGACUUAGGGUUUCUCAAAGGAGAGAACUUUUUAAGAACCAUCAAAUAUAGUACAUCUUUCUGGAUGAUGAACCUCCAUUCUCUAAUAUCUAGUUUAAUUUGUUGUUUGGUUGUUUGUACCAAUUUUAGGGAAAUUGGCUUGUAAUCCCUUAGCCGAUAGAUGAGAAAAAUAUGGUGCUUUUAUUGUUGGUACUUUUUUUUUCUUUUAUCGUUGGUAUUUCAAUAAAAUUUUAUUUUUUAUUAGAUUUUAUGAGAUAUUAAUUUUUGGAAAAGAAAUUGAAAGGGAAGGAAACAACAAACAAUAACUAAUUCUUCGAGUAAUUAAUGCCGAUAUUUAAUUGAUUUUGAAGUCAUUAGAGAAAAUAUUGCAUAAUUAAAAGCAAA